rnacentral:rRNA from 1 species
CCCUUAGGCAAAUCCGGGGGGGCAACGUUGAGACUAAGGACCGGCCCAUUAGGGCUAGGCUGCUGAUAUCACGCUUCCAGGAAAAGCUCCUAAGCUUCAGCUUACGCAGACCGUACCGUAAACCGACACAGGUGGGCAGGAUGAGAAUUCUAAGGCGCUUGAGAGAACUCGGGUGAAGGAACUAGGCAAAAUAGCACCGUAACUUCGGGAGAAGGUGCGCCCUCCAUGGUUAAUAGCUAAGGGGGGCCGCAGUGACCAGGCCGCUGCGACUGUUUAUCAAAAACACAGCACUCUGCAAACACGAAAGUGGACGUAUAGGGUGUGACGCCUGCCCGGUGCUGGAAGGUUAAUUGAUGGGGUCAGCCGCAAGGCGAAGCUCUUGAUCGAAGCCCCAGUAAACGGCGGCCGUAACUAUAACGGUCCUAAGGUAGCGAAAUUCC